GACGAACCGUGCGAACGUUGUUCGGAAUCAUUGGGCUUAAAGGGCGCGUAGGUGGCCUUAUAAGUCAGUGGUGAAAUCUUCGAGCUUAACUCGGAAAUUGCCAUUGAUACUGUAGGGCUUGAGUACAGUUGCUGUGGGCGGAAUAUGACAUGUAGUGGUGAAAUACAUAGAGAUGUCAUAGAACACCGAUUGCGAAGGCAGCUCCCAAAACUGUAACUGACACUGAGGCUCGAAAGUGCGGGGAGCAAACAGG
rnacentral:rRNA from 1 species